rnacentral:rRNA from 1 species
AACGCUAGCUACAGGCUUAACACAUGCAAGUCGAGGGGCUAGCAUUUUAGUUUGCUUGCAAACUGAAGAUGGCGACCGGCGCACGGGUGAGUAACACGUAUCCAACCUGCCGAUAACUCCGGAAUAGCCUUUCGAAAGAAAGAUUAAUACCGGAUAGCAUACGAAUAUCGCAUGAUAUUUUUAUUAAAGAAUUUCGGUUAUCGAUGGGGAUGCGUUCCAUUAGUUUGUUGGCGGGGUAACGGCCCACCAAGACUACGAUGGAUAGGGGUUCUGAGAGGAAGGUCCCCCACAUUGGAACUGAGACACGGUCCAAACUCCUACGGGAGGCAGCAGUGAGGAAUAUUGGUCAAUGGGCGAGAGCCUGAACCAGCCAAGUAGCGUGAAGGAUGAAGGCUCUAUGGGUCGUAAACUUCUUUUAUAUGGGAAUAAAGUUUUCCACGUGUGGAAUUUUGUAUGUACCAUAUGAAUAAGGAUCGGCUAACUCCGUGCCAGCAGCCGCGGUAAUACGGAGGAUCCGAGCGUUAUCCGGAUUUAUUGGGUUUAAAGGGAGCGUAGGUGGAUUGUUAAGUCAGUUGUGAAAGUUUGCGGCUCAACCGUAAAAUUGCAGUUGAAACUGGCAGUCUUGAGUACAGUAGAGGUGGGCGGAAUUCGUGGUGUAGCGGUGAAAUGCUUAGAUAUCACGAAGAACUCCGAUUGCGAAGGCAGCUCACUAGACUGUCACUGACACUGAUGCUCGAAAGUGUGGGUAUCAAACAGGAUUAGAUACCCUGGUAGUCCACACAGUAAACGAUGAAUACUCGCUGUUUGCGAUAUACAGUAAGCGGCCAAGCGAAAGCAUUAAGUAUUCCACCUGGGGAGUACGCCGGCAACGGUGAAACUCAAAGGAAUUGACGGGGGCCCGCACAAGCGGAGGAACAUGUGGUUUAAUUCGAUGAUACGCGAGGAACCUUACCCGGGCUUAAAUUGCAACAGAAUAUAUUGGAAACAGUAUAGCCGUAAGGCUGUUGUGAAGGUGCUGCAUGGUUGUCGUCAGCUCGUGCCGUGAGGUGUCGGCUUAAGUGCCAUAACGAGCGCAACCCUUAUCUUUAGUUACUAACAGGUUAUGCUGAGGACUCUAGAGAGACUGCCGUCGUAAGAUGUGAGGAAGGUGGGGAUGACGUCAAAUCAGCACGGCCCUUACGUCCGGGGCUACACACGUGUUACAAUGGGGGGUACAGAAGGCGGCUACCUGGUGACAGGAUGCUAAUCCCAAAAACCUCUCUCAGUUCGGAUCGAAGUCUGCAACCCGACUUCGUGAAGCUGGAUUCGCUAGUAAUCGCGCAUCAGCCAUGGCGCGGUGAAUACGUUCCCGGGCCUUGUACACACCGCCCGUCAAGCCAUGAAAGCCGGGGGUACCUGAAGUACGUAACCGCAAGGAGCGUCCUAGGGUAAAACUGGAAAUU